rnacentral:rRNA from 1 species
CCUACGGGUGGCAGCAGUGGGGAAUAUUGCACAAUGGGGGAAACCCUGAUGCAGCGACGCCGCGUGAGUGAAGACGUAAUUCGUUAUGUAAAGCUCUAUCAGCAGGGAAGAAAAUGACGGUACCUGUGUAAGAAGCCACGGCAAACUACGUGCCAGCAGCCGCGGUCAUACAUAGGGGGCCAGCGUUAUUCGGAUUUACUGGGUGGAAAGGGAGCGUAGACGGCAGUGCAAGGCUGGAGGGAAAGGCGGGGGCUCAACCCCCGGACUGCUCUGGAAACUGUACGGCUGGAGUGCAGGAGAGGUAAGUGGAAUUCCUGGUGUAGCGGUGAAAUGCGUAGAUAUUAGGAGGAACACCAGUGGCGAAGGCGGCUUACUGGACUGUAACUGACGUUGAGGCUCGAAAGCGUGGGGAGCAAACAGGAUUAGAUACCCGGGUAGUC